UUCAGGAGUCACAUGCUCUCUUGCCAGGAAAUGUGACUGGAGGCUUUUGCGCCUACGUGUGAGGUCCGGAACCAUGGCAGCCAUCUUGGGCCCAUAAGGGGAGAUACCUGAGGAAAACAUGCUGAGGAUGGCAACGCUGACAAUGAAGCAAACUGGAGUCCUUCACAAAGUCACUGAGCUCGUGACUUAGCCUGGAGCUUCCCUACGUCAGAACUUCUAGUGAGGAGUGUCUGGUGGACCUGAGGACCCCUCCCAGCCCCACGGAAUGGAGUGAGCAUGGAGUGUCUGUGUUUUGUCAGUAACAACCGUCUGGUCUCCGGGAAACUUCCCCGAUCCUCAGAACAAAGCUCAAGAAUGUCCACAAGCAGCCACGUCCAUCCGAUGUCUGCUGGAAACCCGCUGUCCAUGCACGAAGUGCAAAGCUUCAAAAUACAUGAAGAAACCCAGUGGAAUCAGAAGGGAAGUUAGCACAUCCUCUGAUGUGCCCAAAGCUGUGCAUCGGAGAUCACGGGCAGCAGAAGACAGAGCCAGGGAAGUGGCGGCGUCCGAACGGAGACCCUGGCCAGGAGAGAAAGGGUUGGAAGCAAGAGCUCACAUGGAGGCAGCCCCCCAAGAAAGAGUGCUGGCUUCCGUGUUUGCCCAGCCCCUUGGUGGAAACAUGCCCGCUCGCCCAGAUACUUAUCCAGCACAUAGUCGGUCUCCUUAGAUGUUU